UACAGAGACUGCAAGCGUUAUUCGGAUUCACUGGGCGUAAAGGGUGCGCAGGUGGCUAAGUGUGUUAGGCGUGAAAGCCCGGGGCUUAACCCCGGAAUUGCACCUAAAACUACUUGGCUAGAGCAUUGGAGAGGGGAGCAGAAUUCAUGGUGUAGCAGUGAAAUGCGUAGAUAUCAUGAGGAAUACCAGAGGCGAAGGCGGCUCCCUGGACAAUUGCUGACACUCAGGCACGAAAGCGUGGGGAGCAAAAGGG
rnacentral:rRNA from 1 species